UGGGCUCGAAAGAGAGUGGAUCCUUGGUUUCAGACCUAAAAGAUCCUUUGUCUCAAAAAAAUAUAAACAAUGCUCCAAAGGGUAGAAGAAUUCGCCUUUGUAAAAGUGCUCCUCUUUCAAAUUAUGUAGGCUUCGAGACAGGCUUUGCCUCAGGUCCAAGUACCAAAUCCUUUUUCAGAAAGAUACACCCGAGUUUUCGUAUUGUAGCUGCAUUCUUGACUGUCUACUUAGGCUUAGGAACUGUAUGUUUCUACCUCGUUGGGCACCAGCUCAAGGGAGAGAAGACAAAUGGAGUUCUUGAUGCUGUUUAUUUCUGUGUUGUUACAAUGACCACCGUCGGAUAUGGAGACCUUGUGCCAAACAGUGUUUUUUCAAAACUACUGGCUUGUGCUUUCGUCUUCUCAGGAAUGGCUCUCGUCGGGAUGACCUUGAGCAAAGCAGCUGACUAUUUGAUAGAGAAGCAGGAAUUAUUGCUCGUUAAAGCCUUACAUAUGAAUCAAAAAGCUGGGCCUAUUGAAAUUCUUAAAGAUAUCGAGACCAACAAUCUGAGGUACAAAUGUAUUGUGGUCUUUAUCCUUCUUUUGCUACUCAUAAUUGGUGGCACAGUCUUCCUAGCUACUGUUGAGAAAUUGAGCCUUGUGGAUUCAUUCUAUUGCGUUUGUUGUACAAUCACAACCCUGGGUUAUGGAGAUAAGAGCUUUUCGACUCAAGCAGGGCGUGCUUUUGCAGUAUUCUGGAUAUUGACAGGUACCAUUUGUUUAGCUCAGUUUUUCCUCUACGUUGCCGAGCUAAACGCCCAGAGCAGACAACGGGCGUUAGUAAAGUUGAUUCUCACUCGUAGGAUGACCAAUGUAGAUUUAGAGGCAGCUGAUCUGGAUGGCGAUGGCGUUGUUGGGUAUGUUAAACUUUUCUUCACAAUUGCUUCUGUAGUAUGAGCUUAUUAUUUCUGAAUUCUUAUCUCCUGAUGGUUAACCAACAAAUUUUGACACUCUGCCUCCAUCCUUUACAUAGGGCUGCUGAAUUUGUCAUAUACAAGCUCAAAGAGAUGGGGAAGAUUAGCCAGGAAGAUGUUAGACUUGUAAUGGAGGAGUUUGAAGAUCUUGAUGUCGAUCAGUCAGGAACGUUGUCAACGUCAGAUAUAAUGCUUGCGCAACAACCUCAAAUCGAGAAGUAACUCUGGCACUAUGCUGGUGGCUUUGUAAGUUCGUGAUAUGUAUGAUUACUUAUUCUUGCUGUGGUAUGAAUUUCUUAACUAUGCCAUUUCACAAACACUCCCAUAUAUCUCUUCCUAUAAAGACUUGGUUAAAACGCUUGGAUUGCUUCUGUGUAUUUUGGAGAUCAUUGUUCAGUAUCGUCCUACCUCGAUGUCAGUCUCAUCCGUCAAAAAUACAGUUUGUGUAAUUAAAUUGCACGAUGACAGUCACUGACAAAAAGAAUUUUGGAAGAAAAUCACGGUUUAUGACUCCUAAAAUCUUUACUUAAAUGGAAUAUAGCGUACAAACAAAUUUUGGUCCUUCUUUAGAUUGACAAAUGGGACUGCUUGGUUCCUGAAUUCAAGAAUUUCGCCUGAUGUGGUUCAAUCUGUUUUGUGUUACGACAGAUUAAAGAUUUGGAGGUUGUGCAUACGCGACGAGGAUGCAGUGUGGUGAGAGCACUGAAGGUGUGAUGUACUGAGGCACUGUAUAAUGAUCAUAUUACACACUGCCUAAGAAAUCUACUUGUUAAAUAGUUUAUUAAAUAUAGAUUAUGAAAUCUACUGGUUAAAUUAUUGGGUACUUAACUGCUUAUACAAAUGGAUCUGCUUCUGCAUUGAUUUUUACUUAACAUGAAUUAAGACUCAAUUAUAACAGAGUUUAUCCACUGAACCGAAUGCAUAGGAAGCAGGGCCGGCCAUGAGGGUAUGCAAAAGGUAUCACCGUACACAGUGGCGGAUCUAGGAUUUUAACUUAGGGUGGUCCCAAUAUAAAAGCUCCAAAAAUAAAAACAAGACGAAAAUAUCAUUGAACAAAUAAAUGGCAAACUACAAUUUUCAUUCAUAAUCUUUGUGCUAAACAAGCUAGAAAUACUAAAUUUGUCCACGACGGGAUCUCAUACAUUGAAAACAUGUCAUGAUAGUUUCAUUGUCAAUACAAGAAAAAACAUAUUUCUCAAUGUAAACAACUAAGCUAUCAUUUAACCAUUGAUCCCUCAUUCUGUUGCGGAGUGGACUCUUUAUGAUAUUCAUGGUGGAAAAUGCUCUCUCCACUGAAGCAGUUGCAACAGGUAAAACCAAAGUCAAUUCAAUAAGUAACCAUUUUCUUAGCAAGAUCACUAAUGCUUUGCAACUGAGAAAAGUCACUUCUCGAACACAUAGAAUGAAUAUAAAUAUCAAGUUGAUCUUCAAGUGCCAAUAGGUCUUUCUUCGUAAAAUCUUGAGGGUACAAUUGAGUAAGGCGAAGUAGCUUUUCUUUGUCAAAAGCUGUAAAAGAAUCAUUUGAACUCAAACUAGUCAAACAAAUGAGCAAUUCAGUACUUGUUUCAUUGAAGCGAUCAUUUAACUCUGUAAGCUAGGAAUCAAAGACAACAAAAAAUAGCUCCACUUUGUAAUGAUGACAGUUGGUCUUUUUGUGGGUAUUACGGCGCAACCUCCCAUGAGCUACAUAUGUCUCAUCCAUGUUAAUAACCUCAAUAUGAUGUUGGACCGUCGCAAAAGGCCCUUUUUUUGUAGUGUAUAAUUACCCGUUCAAUAAGCAAGUGAAGAUUGUCAUUGCUAUAAUGACUCUUCAUAACUACAUACGGAGGUAUUCUGAACUUGAUCGUCAUUUUGAUGAAAGGGACUUUUGUGAAGAGAGCGAUAUUAGUCUAAAAUAUCCAUAAUAUCCCGAUAUUUCCAUAAAAAAUUCCGUGUUUUUGGACUACCGAUAUUUCCGAUAUCAUCGAUAUUUUAGACCUUGCUAAGUCACACAUGUAUCUUACCAUGCAAUGUAUAAAGUGUAAAAUAUUGUUCUAAUUCAAUAUAUAUAAAUGAUUAUGGUGUGUUUAAACUUCUUUCAUUAAUUACUACAUAUUUUCUACACUCACAAUGUUUGUCAGCUCGUUAUAUAAUCAACUUAAAUCAGUUAUAUCUAUCAUGCAAUGCAUUUCCUUCCAAUUUUUUGUGAUAAACUAAUGGAUAAUUGACUAAAUAAACAUCCUGCAAAGUUUCAAUAAAAAUUUCCAAGUUUUUCUUACAAUUUCCGUGGUUUAGGACUACCGAUAUUUCCGAUAUCAUCGAUAUUUUAGACCUUGCUAAGUCACUCAUGUAUCUUACCAUGCAAUGUAUAAAGUGUAAAAUAUUGUUCUAAUUCAAUAUAUAUAAAUGAUUAUGGUGUGUUUAAACUUCUUUCAUUAAUUACUACAUAUUUUCUACACUCACAAUGUUUGCCAGCUCGCUAUAUAAUCAACUUAAAUCAGUUAUAUCUAUCAUGCAAUGCAUUUCCUUCCAAUUUUUUGUGAUAAACUAAUGGAUAAUUGACUAAAUAAACAUCCUGCAAAGUUUCAAUAAAAAUUUCCAAGUUUUUCUUACAAUUUCCGUGGUUUUUAUUCAAUUUUUAUCUAUAUCGAUAAUAUCCCAAUAUUUCCAUCGAAAUUUCCUUGUUUUUAGACUACCAAUAUUUCCGAUAUCAUUGAUAUUUUAUACCUUGGUGAUGAUGAUGAUGAAGAAUACCAAAAUUAUCAAGUUGAAUGAUCACAUGAGAUAGAGACAUUAAGAAAUAGAAUAGCGGCAAGUUUGAUGAAUGCAUCUAAUUAGACUACCUUCAAGUACAUUAACAAUAUUGUACAAAUGAAUCCUAGCUAUUUAGUCUAAAAUAUUUCAAUUGAAGUAGUUUGUCAUACUAAUUAAUAUUUAAGAUAAAGUUUAUAAAUAUUUUUCUUUUAAAAAUAAAGUAUAUUUAGUAAUUCACCUUUAUUUGUUAAGAAAAUUAAAUCAAUAGCACAACUAGUAUUAUACCAUUUUGGUCAUUUCAUACUGUCACAUCUGUUUUACAUAAAAGUUUACCAAACACUAUCAUACUGUUUUUAUUUUUUUCCAAAAGCACUUUUACAAAAAAAUUUACCAAACACUCUGCUGCUUUAUUUUACAACCACUUAUUCUCACAGCACAGCAGAAACAACUUUUUUGCAAAGCACAGCAAUACUAAAAGGUUUUUUUAGCUAAAAUGGUCUAUGAGAUUUGCAUAACUCUUCAAUUUGGUCCCUGAGAUUUGAAAUCGAUAUAAUUGGUUCCUUAGUUUGUCCACCAUCAAUCAUUUUGGUCAUUCUGUGAAAAAUAUCUGUUAAAUUAGGAUAAAAUGACAAAGAUACCCUUAAUUUUUGUCAAAUCGUUUUGGCCUAUUUUUUUAUUAAAGUAAGGGCAUUUUUGUUAUUUUAAUCCUUAUUUAACAUAAUUUUUCACUAAAUGACUAAAAUGAUUGAUCAUGGACAAUGUCAGGGACUGCUUUUAUUGAUUUCAAAUAUCAUGGAUCAAAGUGAGGAGUUAUGCAAAUAUCAUAAAUCAUUUUGGCUAAAAAGCUUUACUAAAAUAUAACAAAAAAUAUUUUUAAAAAAAAUUAAUGCACUCUGUCCAAUUCAGUUUGGACCGGAUUUUAAAAAUGAAAACCAAGAACCAAAUCAGUUGAGAUUUGUACAGUCCAAUUUUCGUUUGGGUUUGACAGGUUUUGGCCAACAGUUUUUUUUUUUUUUUUUUUUUUUCUUUUUCCGGUUUUAUGGCACUCGAUUUGGUUUAGUUUUUCGUUCACUUGUUUCUCUGCCCACAACUUGUUUUUGUUGUCCAUAACUCCGAAAUUGUUUUUUUUUUCUCAAAUUCUUAUGUCUUAAACUUUUAGUCCGAGAUCAUUAAAUAAUGAUUUUAGCCUAAUUUUUUUCGGUAACUUUUUGAAAAUAAAAUUUAUGUAGAUUAUUUGAAGUUAUUUUAUGAACAUUUUAAUCCAAAAAAUUUAAAUUCCGAUAAGUAAUUAAAAAUCAUACAAAUACAUAAGUGUUUAUAAAGUUUUAAGUAAAAUUUGAUUUAAAUAAUUUUAGACCUUAAAUUUAAUUUUGGAUUUUCAAAUCUUUUUUUUACCAUUAGAUUUGAUCUCAUUUGAUCACAACUGUUAGAUUAUAAGUAAAAAAAAAUGUUUGAAAUAUAAUAAUUUAGCCAGACUUAAAUCCUGAGGAAAUCUAGCCCAAAUAUGUAUUUUCUCUAUGUGGCUUAUUUUAGCCCAAUGGUUAGAGAUGAUUUGGAAGGGGUUUUAAAGCUUAUAUUUUAAGAUUUAUCCUAUGGGUUGGAUAUGCCUAAGAAUGCUAAAGAAAUCUUAGAAAAUUAGAAAAAGUAAAAUGAGAAAGUUGGAAAGAAGUUUGUUUCCUCUCAACGAAAGAAGAGUCCCUUGGAAAACUAAUGAAAAGGGCUUGAAAACUUUGAGUUUUAAUGAUAAUGACAAAAUAAAGAGUAAAGUGAAUAGUAUCAGGAUUGAUUUUUUAGUGUAAAAAUAUGAUUUUUCGUUAAAGUGAACAAUACCGGGUGCUUUUCAUUAAAGUUCCCUUGUUUUUUUGUGUAGCAGGUCAACUUGAAUGAAACAAAUUUAUAAUCACGUCACGUUCUGCUUCGAUAAUGUCAUGCUAUGUGGAAAUUACAUACACUAAUGCCCUGCGACAAAAACACUGUUCAUAAGCACAGUGAAUUGGCGAAAUAUCCUUAAUUUACUGUACACUUCCCUUCUUAUUUUCCUCAUUUGCACAGUUAAAUGACGAAAAAGGCCUUGGCUCUUUACUUGCUUUUUUCAACUCUUUCAAGUUUCAACUAGAGCCAUUGAAGGGACUCUAACACUUCACCCAGCUCACCGCCUAGCUUUUCCACCGCUUCACCCUGAACACCGCCACCACUGAUUCCUCCAAAUCCAUGAUUUCGCAGAAUCGCACCACAUAACCAGUCAACAACGCAGAGCUCUCUUCGUCCACGGCAACUCAUCGGUCCACCUCAACGCCGCGUGCGCAACAACUAGCACAAUCCCAACCAGCAGCGGCACCCAAACAUUCACCGUCACCUGGGAAGAACAGCAGUAGAACCCAUUUUGCUAAAGGUAAGCAAUAUAUCCUAAUUUAGAAUUCAAAAGUUCCUUACAAAAGCAGUUUAUCUUCUCAAACACAAGGGAAAUUGGCAAGAUAUACGGUAUAAAAAAUUCGGAAAAAAUCUGAACAAGAAAUUUAGGUCCGAGUAUUAAGGAUUGUUUUUGGUUGUGAAAAAGUUUGAUUGAAAGAGUUCCGUCAAAAAGAGGUGAAACGCUGCUCAAUACCCGGUAUGCCUAUCUGAACGUGAUUUUGGGGGUUUUGUGAGAGACUAGGAAUUAUGCGAGCAUUUGGUUUUUAUUUAUGAGAUUUCUAAUUUUGCAUUACGCCUCAAGUUUUGUGCUUGGUUUUCAACGUCUGGUUCUAUAUCAAAAUUGAGUUUAUUAAAACAUGUAUUUUCUUAACUCAAAUUUUAUCAUAUUUCUUGUACAAAAAAUGUAAUUCCAAUCUGAAGUUCUCUGUGACAAUACAGAACAAAUGGGAAAUUUUUUGAUGAGCCCAAGAACAAACAAGUAACAUGAAAAAUAAAAUAAUGUGGGCAAUUUUUGAAACCGUAUAUAUUUAGGACUUGAAAGUCCGUCCUUUUAGUCGUUCAAAUCUACAUUUUUGGUUGCACAUAGAACUUUUAACAUAGAAUUAGUAAAAUACAGAUGCAAACGACUAAACAAUGUGAGAGACUUUUGGAAAUGUAUGUAAUGUAACUUAGGAAUGUUCCCUUUGGAUUGCAAAUAUGCUUUUGAUGUAAAGUAAAUAGAAUGUAAUGUAACUUAAAAAACUACUUUACCCUAUUUGUUUAGUUGUUCUAUUAAUUUAUAAAAUGUUUUGCAAUGAAUGUAUUGCUUUGUGUAUGGUAAUAUACGUGUUUGUCAACGCAGAUAAGCUGUUUCUAGCUUCUGAACAUCAAUUAUUAUUAGGUGCCGUUAUUCAACUUUGUCUCUUUUUUGAGAUAUGAUUCAUAUUUGCUGUAAAAUGUAAAUUAAUUCUGACCAGCAAUUUUACAUUUGAACACUAAUUAUAACCAAUACACAAAGUUUAAUUACCAAGAACUACAAAUAUAAAAAAAAUAAGAUCAGAUGAUAAUUUAAAUGCUGAAUAUAAUAAACUCAUUGACUCCAUAAGUGAUUUAUUCAACAUUAUAGAUGAAUAAUAAAUAUCAUGUAGAUUCAGUUGCUUUCAUUUAUUUUUGAAUAAUUUAAAAAUGAGUGUUAAAUUUUGGUUACGGUUUCAAACCCGCAGUGGAACGCAGGCUUCUUUGCUAGUGUUUUCUACAUAACAUGAUAUUAUUAGAGCCGAACACUGCGUGCCGUAUAUUGUUCCAUAGAGUCCUUGUGAGGAGGUCAUUACUCAUUCUGAACAAAACAAAAAUAAUAAUAAAAAAUAAGGUCAUCAAACAUAGGAAGGUUUUUUGACUUUGGACUUUUGGAUCUUGCAUGAUCCAUCUACUUCGACCAAACCAGAAUUAUGCUGUUUGAAAGAUUACGCGGCCAAUGACAAAAUUAUCAAUGGGAGUCCAGCGACUGAGAUAUUCCAGACUUUUCCAAGAACUCCGAACUCACAGAACUGACAUAUUAUGUUGGUGACUGGUGAGUUUUCUGUUAAGUUGGUUGUUUUAUUUCCAUGUUCUGAAUCUGGAGUGAGAUCUUUCUGUAAAGUUAGUUAUUUCAGUUAAUUGGAAGCAAUCCUUAGCUUUGAUGAAGGUUAUUUUCAUUUCACUGCACUUUAAUGUCUGAAUUUGUUUGUUUGUAUGUUUGUUUAUAACUUUAUAUCAGCGGAGUAGUACACUCCGUUUGAAAGCUUGAUCCUUCAUUGUGCAUUCAAAUCUAAUUUGAAUAAUAUAAUCAAAGAAAAUUAAAGGUGAAUUUGGGUUUAUCGGUUUCAUUUUUCUUUUUCUUGGUAGUUAUUUAAAAUUUAGUUAUUGAAAUCAAUCAAGUUACUCUGUCAAAAUUUUUUGAUUUGAUCUUUCCAUGGAGUUUGGAAAAGGAUUAUUUCGAUAACUUGAUGAAUCUAUAUUUGGGUAUUUAUAGAACUUUUAUGAAGAUGAGAAAUGAAGUUUACUGGCACUUGAUGAUUCCAAUCUUUGGUAAAUAAUUUUGUAAGCUAAUUGAUUGAAGAUUGAAACUUAGAAGCUCAAAAAAAUGUUGUUGAAUUGAGGUACAUCUGUAACAAAUUGGCUGAAGUGUCUAGCUGCUUAUGCCUAUGCAGGUCAUCUAGUUUGCUGAAGCAUCCUCAUGGGAUCGAAUGAGAGGGGAUCCUUACUUUCAGGACUAACAGAUCCUUUGUCUCAAACAAAUAAAAACAAUGCUCCAAAGGGCAGGAGAAUUCGUCGUUGUAGAAGUGCUCCUGUUUCAGAUUAUGUAGCCUUAGAGACAGGCUUACCCUCAGGUCCACAAACCGAUCAGUCCUUUUUCGGAAAUAUACACCCGAGUUUUCGCAUUGUAGCUGCAUUCUUGACUGUCUACCUAGGCUUAGGAACUGUAUGUUUCUACCUAGUCAGGAACCAGCUCAAGGGAGAGAAGACAAAUGGAGUUCUUGAUGCUGUUUAUUUCUGUAUUGUGACAAUGACCACUGUCGGAUAUGGUGACCUUGUGCCAAACAGCGUUCUUUCAAAACUAGUGGCUUGUGCUUUCGUCUUCUCAGGAAUGGCUCUCGUCGUAAUGAUCUUGGGCAAAGCAGCUGACUAUUUGGUAGAGAAGCAGGAAUUAUUGCUCGUUAAAGCCCUACAUAC
rnacentral:lncRNA from 1 species